rnacentral:piRNA from 1 species
UCUUCUUCCAUUUUAUGAAUC